GAUGAACGCUGGCGGCGUGCUUAACACAUGCAAGUCGAACGAUGAAGCCCAGCUUGCUGGGUGGAUUAGUGGCGAACGGGUGAGUAACACGUGAGUAACCUGCCCUUAACUCUGGGAUAAGCCUGGGAAACUGGGUCUAAUACCGGAUAGGAGCGUCCACCGCAUGGUGGGUGUUGGAAAAAUUUAUCGGUUUUGGAUGGACUCGCGGCCUAUCAGCUUGUUGGUGAGGUAAUGGCUCACCAAGGCGACGACGGGUAGCCGGCCUGAGAGGGUGACCGGCCACACUGGGACUGAGACACGGCCCAGACUCCUACGGGAGGCAGCAGUGGGGAAUAUUGCACAAUGGGCGAAAGCCUGAUGCAGCGACGCCGCGUGAGGGAUGACGGCCUUCGGGUUGUAAACCUCUUUCAGUAGGGAAGAAGCGAAAGUGACGGUACCUGCAGAAGAAGCACCGGCUAACUACGUG
rnacentral:rRNA from 1 species